GAGCACGUAGGUGGGUUUGUAAGUCAGAUGUGAAAGCCUUCUGUUCAACGGAAGAAUUGCAUCUGAAACUGCGAGUCUUGAGUGUAGGAGGGGAGAAUGGAACUUCUGGUGGAGCGGUGAAAUGCGUAGAUAUCAGAAGGAACGCCGGCGGCGAAGGCGAUUCUCUGGCCUAUUACUGACACUCAGUGUGCGAAAGCUAGGGGAGCAAACGGGAUUAGAUACCCCGGUGGUCCUAGCCGUAAACGAUGGGCACUAAGUAGAGGGGUUUU
rnacentral:rRNA from 1 species